UACGUGGGGGGCCAGCGUUGUCCGGAUUCAUUGGGCGUAAAGCGCGUGUAGGCGGCCAGGUAGGUCCGAUGUGAAAUCUGGAGGCUCAACCUCCAGCGGUCAUUGGAAACCAUCUGGCUAGAGUCCGGAAGAGGAGAGUGGAAUUCCUGGUGUAGCGGUGAAAUGCGCAGAUAUCAGGAAGAACACCAAUGGCGAAGGCAGCUCUCUGGGGCGGUACUGACGCUGAGACGCGAAAGCGUGGGGAGCGAACAGG
rnacentral:rRNA from 1 species